AUGCAUGAUCUCAAUAACUUUAGCAAAUUCUUGAUUGCCUAUAGCAUCUAGACAUGCAUAAAGCCAUUAACACACAUAUAUAGGUGGUUUCUUUGACAUAUUUAAAUAUGAUUGCCAGGAUAUAGAAUUUGCUAAAAAUAAAUGCCAAUUGUUCAUCCUGAGAAUGUUGACACUUGAAACUGAGAGCCAUAUCCAAAUCACACUUCUGAGUUCCAAUCUAUAUUAGCCUCAAUAAUGAUAUUCUAAGACGCCACAUAGCAUAUUAAAUCACUUACACUGCCAAAUCUAGUUUGGGGGUACUUUUGUGUCAUGAAAGAGAGAACCUGCUUCUUUAGGCUUCCCCUCAUAUGAAUCUUCAAAUUUAACACCAACUUCUAUCUUAAAUGAGGCAAUGUUCUUCCUUUUUGAACAUGAGCGAAGCUGGACCUUUGCAUGAAUUAUCCUUAGUUGUAGCUGGAAGUUGAUAAAUAAGCAAAAGCUUUUUAGAUCACAAUAGUAUUUGAAAAUAACUUUACAUCAACAUUAAAAAGCAUUAAUCAUGAUGUUAAUCAUGGUUGUAAAAUCAGGAUUCAAAUCAUUAAUCAAAAUCCAAAUUUUGUGAUUUGAGAACUGAAUCUAAGUAGUAUUCUCAAAAUCAAUUAGAAAUACACAUAUACAACUAACAGUCUUAUACGUUGGAAGCUAAAUGUUUCAAUAAAUUUUGAAUGAUGUGGAUAGUUGAUAUGGAUCCUUGUCCUAAUAUUGUCUUAUCUUCCGAAACAUUUAUUAUAUGUAUUCUGUCUUGAGCUGGUCUGCAGAGGUGCUUGCCAGGUCCGAGCCUUGACCUUCGUCUCACUUCUUCUUGGUAUCACAAACUCACUAUCCAUGCAGUUCAAAGCAUCCAAGGCAAAAACUUCAACUGCUGGGUGGUGUUUCCUCUGUGCUCAUUGCAUCAAAAUAUGAAGAAAUCAGCCUCUAAAUGUGGAAGACUUUUGCCAUAUAACUGAUGAUGCAUACACCAAAGAAGAGGAACAUCAGCAUGUCAACAGGGAAAGUUCUAUUGUCAGAAGACUGGGCAUCUUCCUGUUACAUUACUUUCCUCAAGGGUGAAUGGCAUCUGUGGUAUGAUUGAUUGUAUUAUGAAUCUGUUCUGAUUUUGUGAUUAAACUUUGCCAGGUUGCUCCAGUUGAUUCUCUCACCUAUGCUCUUCUUUCUACAUUUCUCUCAUUUUGUGAUUAAACUUGGUCAUAUUGCUAAAAGCAUCCUAAUAUGAAAACUGAGAAUAUAACUGCAGGGAUAAGUGAUUUGUUUCAA